rnacentral:tRNA from 1 species
ACGGUGGUGGUUCCCUGGUAGAAUUCUCACCUUCAAUGCAAGUGACCUGGGUUCGAUUCCCAGCCAAUGCA